CGUGAUAUUAACAGUUUUGCUAGUAAUCAGACCCAGAUAUGAGAUAAGCACAUUUUGAUGUACUUCCUGUGUUGCACUUGGGGUUUUGUUCAAGCAUUAAAUGUCUUUCAGCAUUUAUUCCACAGAGUGAAAUCGUCAUCACACAAGUUCAUACUUAACCUUUUGAGGUGCUGUGCAAAGAGAAAUGUUUUAAACCUGGAUGUGUUCUGACUGAAAUGCUGUUCUCCGCUCUUUCUUUUUUAUUUUACCAUUAUUGACAUGCCUUAUCUGUUUGCUGUUAGUGCAGACAACAGCUAACUCACACGCUCAUUAUACUUUGUGGUACCAUCCUACAUGCUUAAAGAUUUUUUUCAAUAUUUCAUGAGUUUUUCUUUCUUUUUUUAGAUAAUGCACAACCACAUUAGUGGGAUAAGCCUCGUAGCCAAUAGUGUGCCUUACUGCGCUCCAAGAAAUGUGUAACCCAGUUAAUUUAGUUUUCUAGCACUUCUAGCUUGCUAACCAGGCUUGCUAGCGUUAGCUAAUAACUUGGCGCCCCAGACGCUUUUAUCCAAAUCGGCCACUUUUAUCUUUGAUAAACCAUCGUGGCAGCCACCAAAAAAUAUAAUAUUGAGGCUUCAAGAUGCAGAAACUAGAAACCUGUCAUGACCCUGUGCCUUCUCGGCUGACUCUGUAUGGCUACAAGUGUUUUUGUUGUGCUGCAUCUCUCUCUCUCCCCUGCACUGCGCUCUACCGGGGCGGAGUCAUGACGGCUCCAGCCCCUGGCUCGGACACCUGCAAGCAAUCAUCUCACUCACUUCUUAAGGCGGCUGCUGAGAGUGCUUCCUCGCUGGAUUAUUGUGUAACACUCGAUUCUCGCCAGCCUGAGGACCGCCGUUGGUGAGCUAAAGCCGGAGUCCGAGCUACCUGAGCUUCAGUGGAUGUUGUACAUAGCCCUCUUCUUCCCGUGCCUGUGCUUCCCGGAGACCCUCUUCCUGUGCCCCCUCACCUGUAUAUAUUCGCACCUGGUGUCUGUGUGUGUCAAUAAAUCACGAACUUAAGUGACGGUCUGCCUCCGAGUCCCUCCUGAGCCUGACAGAAUAAUCCAGCCACCGCUAUGGACUCAGCAGGCCCAGCCUCGGCAGCGACAGCCCCCAUGUCUCUGGAGGAGCUUCUGCACCGACACGAACAAAUGCUGGUGAAGCUCAGCGGAGACGUGGCGUCUCUAACGCAGGCCUUCGCCCAACGGAUUCCGCUGGCCGAGGACCAGCCUCCCGCGGCCCCUCCCCAGGUCAAGCCCGUGCUCUCCAGCCUGUUGUGCCCUCCUUCCGGGCCCCCUCCACCCGC
ensembl:lncRNA